GCGGCCUUGCCAGUGGUGGAUCCAGAGCUGCGCGUCCCUCCGCUCAUUGCAACUCUGCCCAUGUGCUUUGUAAAAAACAGCCCGAUGCUCAACCGCAUCAUCCACUUCUUCUCCAACAAACAGUGUGCUCUGGAGGUGUUGUCGUGCGGGCGUUAUGUUCCCAGAGGGCCUGCUGGCGUCAGCAUCCCUCUGAGCUCCUUGAACAGGGGGAGCUGUCUGUCUUCCAGGAGCAGGAGCGCCAGCACGCGCAGCAAGGUGUUGCCUCUGUGACUUCUCCACAGCCAAAACAAACAAGGUUCUACAGCAGGUGAGGAUUUGAGGAACCACGGCAUCUGCUGAUGUCGGUCCAAGGUUCUUAUCGAGACCAACGUCAAGACCUUUCAGAGCACUCCAUGCCUCCCUCUCUCGGCUGCUGAUUUCAUUCUCCAGGAGGACUCGGCACCUGCUUUAAUGACAGCGGUGUCAUUGGGUUUGACUGGUCAGCAAACGCAUCUGACUUAAAC